rnacentral:rRNA from 1 species
GACACGACUCUCGGCAACGGAUAUCUCGGCUCUCGCAUCGAUGAAGAACGUAGCGAAAUGUGAUACCUGGUGUGAAUUGCAGAAUCCCGCGAACCAUCGAGUCUUUGAACGCAAGUUGCGCCCGAGGCCACCCGGUCGAGGGCACGCCUGCCUGGGCGUCACGC